GACGAACCGAGCGAACGUUGUUCGGAAUCACUGGGCUUAAAGGGCGCGUAGGCGGGUUCUCAAGUCCGGGGGGAAAUCCCACAGCUCAACUGUGGAACUGCCUCGGAUACUGGGUGCCUCGAGGGUGGUAGGGGUAUGCGGAACUAUCGGUGGAGCGGUGAAAUGCGUUGAUAUCGAUAGGAACUCCGGUGGCGAAGGCGGCAUACUGGACCACAUCUGACGCUGAGGCGCGAAAGCCAGGGGAGCGAACGGG
rnacentral:rRNA from 1 species